rnacentral:rRNA from 1 species
AACGCGAAGAACCUUACCUGGGCUCGAAAUGUAGUGGAAUCGGGUGGAAACAUCCGCGUCUCGCAAGAGACUGCUAUAUAGGUGCUGCAUGGCUGUCGUCAGCUCGUGUCGUGAGAUGUUGGGUUAAGUCCCGCAACGAGCGCAACCCUUAUCCCUAGUUGCCAUCGGGUCAAGCCGGGCACUCUAGUGAAACCGCCCAGGAUAACUGGGAGGAAGGUGGGGAUGACGUCAAGUCCUCAUGGCCUUUAUGUCCAGGGCUACACACGUGCUACAAUGGUCGGUACAAACCGUCGCAAACCCGCGAGGGGGAGCUAAUCGGAAAAAGCCGGCCUCAGUUCGGAUUGGAGUCUGCAACCCGACUCCAUGAAGCUGGAAUCGCUAGUAAUCGCGGAUCAGAACGCCGCGGUGAAUACGUUCCCGGGCCUUGUACACACCGGCUAC